rnacentral:rRNA from 1 species
UACGAAGGGGGCUAGCGUUGCUCGGAACCACUGGGCGUAAAGGGCGCGUAGGCGGCCGAUCAAGUCAGAGGUGAAAGCCCAGGGCUCAACCCUGGAAUUGCCUUUGAUACUGUUUGGCUAGAGACCGGAAGAGGUUAGUGGAACUGCGAGUGUAGAGGUGAAAUUCGUAGAUAUUCGCAAGAACACCAGUGGCGAAGGCGGCUAACUGGUCCGGUUCUGACGCUGAGGCGCGAAAGCGUGGGGAGCAAACAGG